UCGUUUGUACUGGUACGUUUUCCCUCACUUUGUGCGUUAAUUGACUUGUCUUGUUUUCAUUUUUGCUGUCUUCCCCAUUGUUAGAACUUUAAUAAGUGUCUCAAAAAACAGUUUUUAUCAAAACUACAGAUCAUUGUGGAAUAAUCUCAGUUCUUUGGCGCAAUCAUCAUGCCUAUUACCGUAAUGGGGUGUUAAAUGAGGAUGGGGAUGGAGUGUACUCUGUGGAGGCGUCUAAAAACGAGUAUCUAGUGAAAUGUUCUGUUGUCAUUGAUGAAGAAUCUUUGAAGACGCUAUAUGGCGAAUUAUGGCCAGAUUUAACGACACUGGUAGCAUUUCUAAGUGAAAACCGACGGGGAGACCUCAAGUUAGUGAAGACGUUGAAGAUUUAAGGAUGAGAAUGGAACAAAGUCCGAAUAAAGCUUUGUCAAAAAUCUUUACUGUCCGGAGUACCAUACAGCCCAUGUCAGAAAA